CCUGUCUGCUAACUAUUUUGUUGGCAGUGUAAUAAGCUGUAUCUGUUGAUAUUUGGUGUUUGUUUCAUUGCCUCGUUUCUUAAAGCAAAUGUAAUUCCUUUUUCUUGACACGCAGAGAAUUCAGAUGACCCGAAGGCAGUCUGUAGGACGUGGGCUUCAGUUGACUCCAGGAAUAGGUGGCAUGCAACAGCAUUUUUUUGAUGAUGAAGACAGAACAGUUCCAAGUACUCCAACUCUUGUGGUGCCACAUCGUACUGAUGGAUUUGCUGAAGCAAUUCAUUCGCCACAGGUUGCUGGUGUCCCUAGAUUCCGGUUUGGGCCACCUGAAGAUAUGCCACAAACAAGUUCUAGUCACUCUGAUCUUGGCCAGCUUGCUUCUCAAGGAGGUUUAGGAAUGUACGAAACACCCCUGUUCCUAGCUCAUGAAGAAGAGUCAGGUGGCCGAAGUGUUCCCACUACUCCACUACAAGUGGCAGCCCCAGUGACUGUAUUUACUGAGAGCACCACCUCUGAUGCUUCGGAACAUGCCUCUCAAUCUGUUCCAAUGGUGACUACAUCCACUGGCACUUUAUCUACAACAA
rnacentral:sRNA from 1 species